rnacentral:rRNA from 1 species
UACGGGGGGAGCAAGCGUUGUUCGGAUUUACUGGGCGUAAAGGGCGCGUAGGCGGCCUCCGCAAGUCGACUGUGAAAUCUCCGGGCUUAACCCGGAAAGGUCAGCCGAAACUGCGGGGCUAGAGUGCAGGAGGGGCAACUGGAAUUCUCGGUGUAGCGGUGAAAUGCGUAGAUAUCGAGAGGAACACCUGCGGCGAAGGCGGGUUGCUGGGCUGACACUGACGCUGAAGUGCGAAAGCUAGGGGAGCGAACGGG